AUUGAACGCUGGCGGCAGGCCUAACACAUGCAAGUCGAACGAGUGGCGGACGGGUGAGUAAUGUCUGGGAAACUGCCUGAUGGCGGGGGAUAACUACUGGAAACGGUAGCUAAUACCGCAUAACAGCGGAUGUGCACAGAUGGGAUGAGCUAGUAGGGGGGGUAAAGGCUAACCUAGGCGAAGAUCCUUAGCUGGUCUGAGAGGAUGACCAGCCACACGGGAACUGAGCCACGGUCCAGACUCCUACGGGAGGCAGCAGUGGGGAAUAUUGCACAAUGGUCGCAAGCCUGAUGCAGCCAUGCCGCGUGUGUGAAGAAGGCCUUCGGGUUGUAAAGCACUUUCAGCGGGGAGGCGUUACCCGCAGAAGAAGCACCGGCUAACUCCGUGCCAGCAGCCGCGGUAAUAC
rnacentral:rRNA from 1 species